rnacentral:rRNA from 1 species
GUCUACGGCCAUGCUACCCUGAACAUGCCCAAUUCCAUCUGAUUUCAGAAGCUAAGCAGGGUUGGGCCUGGUUAGUACUUAGAUGAGAAACCACCUAGGAAGACUGGGUGCUGUAGGUG